AUACGUAGGUGGCGAGCGUUGUCCGGAAUUACUGGGCGUAAAGGGUGCGUAGGCGGCAGAUAAAGUCCGAUGUGAAAACCCAGGGCUCAACCAUGGGAUUGCAUCGGAAACUAACCUGCUAGAGUACAGGAGAGGGGAGCGGAAUUCCUAGUGUAGCGGUGAAAUGCGUAGAUAUUAGGAAGAACACCAGUGGCGAAGGCGGCUUUCUGGACUGAUACUGACGCUGAUGCACGAAAGCGUGGGGAGCGAACAGGAUUAGAUACCCUGGUAGUCCACGCCGUAAACGAUGAGUGCCAGGUGUAGGGGGUAUCGACACCUUCUGUGCCGGAGCAAACGCAAUAAGUAUUCCGCCUGGGGAGUACGGUCGCAAGAUUAAA
rnacentral:rRNA from 1 species